rnacentral:rRNA from 1 species
CCUACGGGUGGCAGCAGUGAGGAAUAUUGGUCAAUGGGCGCGAGCCUGAACCAGCCAAGUCGCGUGAGGGAGGACGGCCCUACGGGUUGUAAACCUCUUUUGCCGGGGAGCAACGGGCGCCACGUGUGGCGUCACUGAGAGUACCCGGCGAAAAAGCAUCGGCUAACUCCGUGCCAGCAGCCGCGGUAAUACGGAGGAUGCGAGCGUUAUCCGGAUUUAUUGGGUUUACAGGGUGCGUAGGCGGACCGUUAAGUCAGUGGUCAAAUUGAGGGGCUCAACCCCUUCCCGCCAUUGAAACUGGCGUGCUUGAGUGGAAGAGAAGUAUGCAGAAUGCGUGGUGUAGCGGUGAAAUGCAUAGAGAUCACGCAGAACCCCGAUGGCGAAGGCAGCAUGCCGGCUUCCGACUGACGCUGAAGCACGAAAGCGUGGGGAUCGAACAGGAUUAGAUACCCGGGUAGUC